CAGAAGGGACCUAUGCCGCCGAGGGGAAGCGGAGCGGUGCGCGCUGUGUGUUCUCCAGGCCUUUUAGGAAACGUGGAGUGGCUCCUGGGGCCCCAUACACGCGGAGUUACAAGAAAAGGGGCGUUGGAGCCUUCGAGGGCAUAGGUACUGUUCGAAAAGACAGGCCCUGCGAACGGCACCACAAAGCGGUGGCGGAGGCGGUACCCAGCGCAAUGCCGGCAUCGCUGUGAACGAACAAGGGCCCGGUUCCCGCCACGCAGAGCCGAAGCGCUUCCUGACUCGUGUCGGUGGAGUGGUCGGAGAAAGAGGGAAGCUGGAGAGGGCUCCGGUGAGGCAGCAGCCUGCCCCGGGCCAGAGGCGGGCGGCUUGAGAGCCGAGGGGAAGGAGCCAGCCCCUCGGAAGCCCCGCAGAAGCCCCGCGAAAACCCACUCCUGUGAAUUCAUGGCCCAAUGGGUGUAAAGAAAGGAAAGACUUGCGAGGGGCGGCCGAAGUGCCCUGUUUCCGGAGGUGCAGUUCCCAAGGAAGCCUGAGUCAGCGAUCAUCGCCAGGAGCUGGCCUUCCCGGACGGACGAGGGGACAGAGCACCGUGAGAACCAGGGCCCGGUGUGUGCCCCAGGAGGAUUCUUGGUCUCAGAGAUGGAAAUGUCACUUGGGCAUAAGUCACGAUCAUCACUUUCACACCAGACAUGAUCUCCUGCCCGGUGUAUUACUGGUCCUUCUCCAUCCCACCCUAGGGGGACCACCUGCAUGACACCAUGGAGGGACACAUCAAAAAAAUACUCUGCUAGUUCAGCAUCAUGGACUUCAAAAGCAGAAGCAAGGAAAAUCCAUGCAUUAGGGUUAAUAACCAUACCUCAUGCAGGGUUGUUUGACACAUUCAGGGGGUUGGAGAUCUUCAGGAUAAGUUCCUACAUGGCAAACCAAGUAAAACAUGACUAUAAAUCAUCACGGCUAUAAAAGCCAGCCUGCAUGCCCACAGCCUGAGAGGAAUCUGAGCAGGAAAAAGAAAUGAGGCAGAAGAUCCAUAUGGAGCCAGGCAAGGAUGGACGAAUGCACUUUUGCCAAAAGGGUUUUCCAUGAAAUGCAAAUCCUGCAAGAUGACCUGCUGAAAUAAGUUUAGAAAAUGCUUCAAAUCCUGCAAGAUGAAGCACAAAAGCUACAAGAUGAUCUAUGUCCAAAUAAUUGCUACCACUAUGAGUGACAGAUUAUACAAGAGGAUGAAUGUUAGAUCUUAGUAGCAGUUGGAUUCCAGCUGUGGAACUCAGAAUUCAGGACAGGUUUGUAGAUUCCAGAGUUGGAACACCCAAGACAGUGGCUACUAGCUUCAUGAGACUAGUGAGUGCUUGAAAUAAGACCAGUACCAACUGAGACGUGCUCUAAGUGUAAGGUACACAAUGGAUAUUGACAGACAUGUUACAAAUGAAGGAUGUAAAAUAUUUCAUUAGUAAUUUUUAAUUGAUUACAUGUUAAAAUGUAUCAUGGGUAUAUUCAAUUAAAGUAUGAUAAAUUAAUGUUUCUUUUACUUUUUCUGUGGUGGCUACUAGGAAAAUUAAAGUCACAUAUGUGGCUUGAAUUAUAUCUUUGUUGGACAAUUAUUCACAUAAAGGAAUCCUUUGAAUUCUUAAGGGAUCACAAAAGGAACAGCUUAGAGUAAGUAGGCCAAGGAAAGAAUAUUGAUCAUCUUGAGAGAAUCCUACAUUUAGGAGCCAGGAAAGAAGGAGGAGAUGACAAAGGAGACUGGGGAGUGAUCAAAGAUGACAGCAUUAAGAUGGAAACUUGGCCACAGGUUACAGAAAGGCCAGGGAGAAUGACAGCAGGAAAGAGGCUGUUACAUUUACCAGUUAAGAGGUUAUUUGUUUUUAGGACUUUUCAUAGGGUGGUUGUGGUGGAAGCUGGUUUAAAAAAGGAAUAGGGGUGGGACUCAAGAUACAUUUUUAAGAAAAUGGAUGAUGUGAACAUGUAUAUAAGUUUAGUGGAGGGGAAGAGAGAAAAGAUUCAAAAGGAAGAAGAGAUUGUUGAGGUAGUGAAGUCCCAUCAUUAGUUUUAGGAAAGUAACUUGCCUAGGAGAGGAUUCAGAUACUUUUUCUCUGAGGCCACAGAGAAGGAAAAGAAAUUCAGGAAUUUCACUUGAUUUUAUUUCUUAUGUUCUCCGAGACAGAAGAGAUAAUGUUAUAGUCCAUGUUAGAAGAUUGAGGCUAAAUUUGAGAGCUUGAGAAGUAUGAAAAAUGCUCAGAGAAGACACAGUAGCAAGUCAUCAGCGUGAAGUAAUAAACAAGUAGAAAACGAGCAGUGAAGAGCCAGUGCAGUCUGGGCGGCAUAAAUGCUCAGGAGCACAGCUGAUGCAGUGAUGUCCCGUCACCGACAGAGCUAAGCUUUCUGAGGCUUACCCAAGAUUAGGAAAGAACCAAGUGAGUGUGAUUGAAGGACAUGGGGCUGCUCCUCUAGCUUGUGUGAAAGUAACAAAAACCGUAGAACUUGAUGUCCAAGUUGUAUUUAAAAAAGGUUUCAAAGCCAUUCUGGGAACGGACCUCACUUGUAUGAAGCAAUGCCUGGAUCAGGUGUGUGUGUUUGGCUCUGUGACGAAGGGUCUCAUCUUCUGCAGAUUACCCACAUCACCAAGUCAGAAGCAGCAAGAACGAACAUGGAUUUCCAUCCAUCCUUAUGAGGUUCCAGCGCAUCCUCAUGUGAUUCUAGUCUGCUUGGUGACUGUCGCUUCCCAACUGCCCGCCCUCUGAACGUCAGGCCAGCACCAGGCGCAGAGACGGCCUGGCAGAAACUGCUUAUCCAGCCCCACAAGCUAAUUCCCUGUAAG